rnacentral:lncRNA from 1 species
GGUGUCGUCCCCUUCCUGGGCUCACUCCUCGAUUACCUGCAGCUUCUGGACACUGAGAUGGAGGAUUAUCUGAAGGAGCGUGAGCAUGGAGGUGGGAACAGGGAACAGGAUCCUGAGGUUUGGGAGGCGAGAGCCCUGCACUGGGCCCUGAGCUCUCAGCACUUGGCAAAGCUCCUCUCCUGAGAACCUCCUGGCCGCCCCUGGAGCUGGGGCCUCAGGCACAUCUUAGCAAUGUGAGACCCAAGGCUUUGCAUAAUCCCCCCUCCAGGCUCCCUGGGCUGGGGGAGCUCAGAGCUGCCCUGACUACAGAGCUGCAGGAGGUGGGUGUCAGAGCUGGACUCAGCCUCUCCCUCAGGCCCCGCCCCUGGGGGAGUGAAGUCAGCCCCUGCAAGUCAGGAAGCACAUCCGUGGUCCAGCUGUCCCUUCCUUGCUGAGGGCUCAGUCUCCCUGUCUGUCAUCAGAGAGGUUGGAGCUACAGAGUCUGUGGCCUCAGUGACCCUGUCCCCCCUGCGCUGGAGCCCAGAGCCUGGCCCAGGUUCAGGCUCUCCUUGUGGCAGUGUCUGCCCUCUGCUGGGCCCUGGCAGUCCUGCAACCUGGGAAGGGGUGGGCUGGGGGCUAGUCAUGGGCCAAGGGGCCUGUUUCUGAUGGACAUUGGCUGUCUGCCUUCGAGGGAAAUAUGGUGAACUUCCAGAAAUGGAGUGAGGUGAGCAGCCGUGCCCUCGAUGCGGGGAGGGUGGGGCUGUGGAAAUCAGAGACCUCCCCUGCAAGACUUUCUCUGGCCUCAUCCCUUGGGUCUUAUCUUUAUUGGGAGAGUUAGAUACAGGCAGCUGGGGAUCCCAUCACAUUGGGGGUGGGGAGGAGGGGCUGACAUCGAGGACACCUUCCUGGAUGAGGAACUAUUUCAACCCAACUGUGAGAAAAGGCAAGUCCUGAAUGGAGUGGGAGGGAAGGAGGGUUCCCAAUGAGCAAAGACCCCAGAGCAGCUCCUCACUACCCACAAGUUCCUGGCUGGGUUCCCCCCCAGGCCCUGUCUGCAUCCUGUCCUUCCUCCCAGAAAUUCAAGGUCAUUAAAAGGAUCCAGCUGCUCCAGGCGGCUGCCAAUGAAUGCCACCUGCAGCCCGAGGAGCACUUUGGGGCCUGGUUCCAGGCCAUGGAGCCCCUCCGUGAGGAAGAGAGCUACAGCCUGUCCUGCCAGCUGGAGCCCCCAAACAUGAAGGUGAGCAAAAUGCGAGGCUUCUUCAGGACCAAGAAGAACCGGCCAUCCUCAAGAUUGGGGCUGACUGCCAUGCGCUUGGCAAGGAGCCAUCACACUCUAGAUGCCACCACAAGCUCAGCCUCUUCAGGUGCAG